rnacentral:rRNA from 1 species
AACGAACGCUGGCGGCAGGCCUAACACAUGCAAGUCGAGCGUGAAAGGGACUUCGGUCCUGAGUAAAGCGGCGCACGGGUGAGUAACACGUGAAUAAUCUGCCCUUCUGACCGGGAUAACAGACCGAAAGGACUGCUAAUACCGGAUAAGCCCACAAGUCAACCGGGCGUGCGGGAAAAGUACGGGAUCCUUCGGGACCGUAUGCGGAAGGAUGAGUUCGCGUUCCAUUAGAUAGUUGGUGAGGUAACGGCCCACCAAGUCGACGAUGGAUAGCUGGUCUGAGAGGAUGAUCAGCCACACUGGAACUGAGACACGGUCCAGACUCCUACGGGAGGCAGCAGUGGGGAAUCUUGCGCAAUGGGGGGAAACCCUGACGCAGCCAUGCCGCGUGAAGUGAUGAAGGCCUGUGUAAGA